rnacentral:rRNA from 1 species
GUGGGGAAUAUUCCGCAAUGGACGAAAGUCUGACGGAGCAACGCCGCGUGAGUGAUGAAGGUUUUCGGACUGUAAAGCUCUGUUGUUUAGGACGAAAGUGCCUGUUGCAAAUAGUUACAGGUAUUGACGGUACUGAACGAGGAAGCCACGGCUAACUACGUGCCAGCAGCCGCGGUAAUACGUAGGUGGCAAGCGUUGUCCGGAAUUAUUGGGCGUAAAGAGCAGGUAGGCGGGAAUCUAAGUCUGUUGUGAAAAUGCGGGGCUCAACCCCGUAUUGCGAUGGAAACUGGGUUUCUUGAGUGCAGGAGAGGAAAGGGGAAUUCCCAGUGUAGCGGUGAAAUGCGUAGAUAUUGGGAGGAACACCAGUGGCGAAGGCGCCUUUCUGGACUGUGUCUGACGCUGAGAUGCGAAAGCCAGGGUAGCGAACGGGAUUAGAUACCCCAGUAGUCC